AUUGAACGCUGGCGGCAUGCUUUACACAUGCAAGUCGAACGGUAACAGGUUAAGCUGCCGCGUGGCGAACGGGUGAGUAAUGCAUCGGAACGUGCCCGAACGCGGGGGAAAACGCAGCGAAAGCUGCGGUAAUACCGCGUAAGACCUGAGGAAGAACGCGGGGGACCGCAAGGCGUCAUGCUACAGGAUCGGCCGCUGUCUGAUUAGCUAGUUGGUGGGGUAAAGGUAUACCAAGGCGACGAUCAGUAGCUGGUCGGAGAGGACGAUCAGGCACACUGGGACUGAGACACGGCCCAGACGCGUACGGGAGGCAGCAGUGGGGAAUUUUGUACAAUGGGCGAAAGCCUGAUCCAGCAAUGCCGCGUGUGGGAAGAAGGCCUUCGGGUUGUAAAGCACUUUUGUCCGGAAAGAAAGGGCUCUGGUUAAUACCUGGUGUCGAUGACGGUACUGGAAGAAUAAGGACCGGCUAACUACGUGCCAGCCGCCGCGGUAA
rnacentral:rRNA from 1 species